UCUUCUUUUUCUUUAAAGUCUCCAGUAACUCAGAGGAGCAGAGUUUCUUUCUGCACUUCACUCAGACUGCAAAUCUGUUGUAAGAGAGGCACUUCUGGAAAAGUGCCAAAGAUCCAUUGAGGAAUAAAAAUGGAAUAGUUGCCCAAUGCCUGCUGUUUGCACUGAAAGUACUCUAAGAUUCUUCAUUUUAAUUCUAAUGGUGUUUCUUAACUUUACCUAAUAAUGCAGAUGUAGUCAAUUCCUAAACAACCUUCCAAACAAGCUGAUCCUCAAGGUGGCUUAUGAAAAUAAUAAUUGAGAAUAAAGGCACAUUUGAAAAGCC